ACAUGCUUAUCGUUAAUAAAUCAAGUGAAGGAUUUAAAUAUUCGACGUUGGGUUAGGUAAACACAAAGAAGACGUCGAAACACAUUCUAAUAAAGCUAAAAUAAAGCAGGAGGCUAGUUUAAAACGUGGAUUGUGCGAUAACGGAACGCGAAUGGAAUGAUCAAAAAUGAAAAAUGUUAAAUAUUUCAACUUGUAAUUUUCAUUUUCAAGACUGUAUGUUACUUCACUCCAGACUCCGUUCUCCAUUCCGCGUUAAAUAUGAGCUGGAACGUCACUAGAAUUGCGGCGGCGUCCGGAACUACGGUGUGUUGGUGUUGACGUAAGGUAUACUCCUGGAAAAAUUUUCUCGACACAAACAAGCGAUUUGAAAUUUUACAAUUGAAAACAGUUUUUCGUCACAUGUUGUAUUAAAGUAGACUGAGAUUAAUGGAUUUGAAUGCACUUCUCUUCAGUCAACAGCUUGAUCUUUUGAUUUAAAAUUUAUUUAUUUGUCAACUAUCGGUUAAAUACUAAAUAUCAUGGAUUAGUAAUUAAAAUAUUUUCAGUUUUCUUCAAA